GGUUGAUCCUACACGAAAAACAAAUAUUUUUAUUUCUGAACCGAGUCUGUCCUCCAUAGUUGUUUCUGAUACCAUUCCGAAAUAUAAAGUUGAUGUUGGUCAAAUUGUUUUGCCGAUAAAGAGGAAGGCCACUCAGAAAUGUAAAGCAGUUAUGUUGGUGUCCGACGAGUCUCUUAUCGCUCAUCGUACACGUUCAAAGUUUAGAAACAAAAAUG